ACCCGGUGAAGUUCAGCCCUCGGUCCAGGCGCCCUGCAAGGAGCUGUCCUCAGCACAAAGGAGACAUCGGCCCGGAGAAGCUGCUGCUCAUGGGCGUGUCUGGCCAUCACAGAUGAGCUGCACAAGCUGAGGCUGUCACGCUGGAUGAGAGAGCCAUGACUCUCAUGACGCUGUGCUGGGAGCGUCCACGUAUGACCCACUGUAACCCCACAACCAUCACGGAAUGGAGGUUCUAGCACCUCGCUGACAGCUGGGCAGCCACCUUAGGCAAGGGACUGCUCAGGAUCCACAUCAAAAUACACCCAGCUGCAGAGCCCAGGUUCUUUGGAACCAGCGGGUCCAGGGUGCGCACGUCCCUCUCCCUGCUCUCGGCCUCUGCUCGAGCUGCUCGCCUGGCCUUGAGAGGUGCUCCCUCCUAUCCACUGGCCCGAAUCCUGCUGCCUGGGCUCUGUGAAGGCCUCUCCAACAAGGCUGCCCCACAGCCUCUGUUCCUAGAGCUCACAGCGCUCCUCGUGUCCUGCUCUGCAUGUGUCCAAGAGGCAGCUGACACAGACACCACGCCUGCGGGACCUCUGCCUGCUCCCAGGCUCUACCACUAGGCGCACACAUGGAAGGACUGCCUGGCUGAAUGGCCAGGACUCCCACACUGGAGAAUCCUACAGGUAUCCCAGCAGCCAGGCUCACACACACUCUGUGUAUAGCCUACAGAAGGUCAGGGGAUCUGGCUGGGGCCCUGCCCACCCACAUGGCCACUGUGUGUGUGGUGUGUCGAUGUGGGAGUGUGCGUGUGCACAGGUGAGCACCAUGUUG